GACGACGCUGGCGGCGUGGAUUAGGCAUGCAAGUCGAACGGUAUCAUCCUUUCGGGGGUGAGAGAGUGGCGAACUGGUGAGUAACACGUAGGUUAUCUACCCUCAAGACGGGGACAACCCAGGGAAACUUGGGCUAAUACCGGAUGUGAGCAACUUUUAGUUGUUUGAAAGGUGGCGUAAGCUGUCGCUUGGGGAUGAGCCUGCGUCCUAUUAGUUAGUUGGUGAGGUAACGGCUCACCUAGGCAAUGAUAGGUAGGCGGCCUUAACGGGUGGUCGCCCACACUGGGAUUGAGAUACGGCCCAGACUCCUACGGGAGGCAGCAGUCGAGAAUAGUCUACAAUGGUCGGAAGACUGAUAGUGCGACGCCGCGUGAACGAUGAAUCCCUUCGGGGUGUAAAGUUCUUUUAUAUAUAAACAAUACUUCUUAUAUUAACAGUAUGGGGAGAGAGAUAUUAGCAUAUGAAUAAGCAACGGCUAACUCCGUG
rnacentral:rRNA from 1 species